GUGGGGAAUAUUGCACAAUGGGGGAAACCCUGAUGCAGCAACGCCACGUGUGGGAAGAAGCAUUUCGGUGUGUAAACCACUGUCAUGAGGGAAUAAGGCCCAGUUUAGGCUGGGAUUGAAUGUACCUUGAGAGGAAGCACCGGCAAACUUCGUGCCAGCAGCCGCGGUAAUACGAGGGGUGCAAGCGUUGUUCGGAAUUACUGGGCGUAAAGGGAGCGUAGGCGGAGAUUCAAGCGGAUUGUACAAUCCCGGGGCCCAACCCCGGCUCUGCAGUCCGAACUGGAUCUCUUGGAUAGUUCAGGGGCAGGCGGAAUUCCUGGUGUAGCGGUGGAAUGCGUAGAGAUCAGGAAGAACACCGAUGGCGAAGGCAGCCUGCUGGGGACUCAUCGACGCUGAGGCUCGAAAGUGCGGGUAGCAAACAGG
rnacentral:rRNA from 1 species